rnacentral:misc_RNA from 1 species
GACACCACUCGCCCCCCUCCCCCCCCCCUCCCUUUCGGGUGUGGGUGGGGGUGUCGGGGCGGACUCUGAGUGUUCCGGAGCUUGCUCCGAGUGCACCUAAUCUCGUGAACGAAGCCUCUCGCGCCCUGCCGCACAGAGUUGUUGACGGCGCUCGCUUCGGCGGCGACUCUCGACUCACCAAACGUGCGCAGGCUGCCUGCUUCUUCCGGCGCUCCUUCCCCCGGUCAAACGGGGGAGGGAAACCGUACCACUUUCG